rnacentral:rRNA from 1 species
UACGUAGGGUGCAAGCGUUGUCCGGAAUUACUGGGCGUAAAGCGCGUGUAGGCGGACUUGCAAGUCAGAUGUGAAAUCCCCGAGCUCAACUCGGGAACUGCAUUUGAAACUGCCUGUCUUGAGUAGUGGAGAGGAAAGCAGAAUUCCUGGUGUAGAGGUGAAAUUCGUAGAUAUCAGGAGGAACACCGGUGGCGAAGGCGGCUUUCUGGACACUUACUGACGCUGAGACGCGAAAGCGUGGGGAGCAAACAGG